rnacentral:ncRNA from 1 species
UUUUAAACAUUAUGUUAGCAGAGUAGAAGUGAUAUUUGUUCUCAGAGAGCUUACGACUGGUGAAAGUAAGUAACGAUUAGCUUCGAACAUGGGCUAAUAGAAAGUGGCAAUAACGAAUUUUUAGUUAUUGACGGGGUUGUUUUCGUUAAUCAAACAAGGUAAUUCUCAUAUUAUUGGGAGCUACUUGCUGAGAUUGAUUAUGUGAGUAAUCAGUAAAUAAAGGUGGUAACGCGAGCAUUCGUCCUUUUG